AUUGAACGCUGGCGGCAGGCCUAACACAUGCAAGUCGAGCGGAUGAAGGGAGCUUGCUCCUGGAUUCAGCGGCGGACGGGUGAGUAAUGCCUAGGAAUCUGCCUGGUAGUGGGGGAUAACGUCGGGAAACGGGCGCUAAUACCGCAUACGUCCUGAGGGAGAAAGUGGGGGAUCUUCGGACCUCACGCUAUCAGAUGAGCCUAGGUCGGAUUAGCUAGUUGGUGGGGUAAAGGCCUACCAAGGCGACGAUCCGUAACUGGUCUGAGAGGAUGAUCAGUCACACUGGAACUGAGACACGGUCCAGACUCCUACGGGAGGCAGCAGUGGGGAAUAUUGGACAAUGGGCGAAAGCCUGAUCCAGCAAUGCCGCGUGUGUGAAGAAGGUCUUCGGAUUGUAAAGCACUUUAAGUUGGGAGGAAGGGCAGUAAGUUAAUACCUUGCUGUUUUGACGUUACCAACAGAAUAAGCACCGGCUAACUUCGUG
rnacentral:rRNA from 1 species